rnacentral:rRNA from 1 species
GAUGAACGCUGGCUACAGGCUUAACACAUGCAAGUCGAGGGGAAACGACGGGGAAGCUUGCUUCCCCGGGCGUCGACCGGCGCACGGGUGAGUAACGCGCAUCCAACCUGCCUCUGACUGAGGGAUAACCCGUCGAAAGUCGGCCUAAUACCUCAUGGUAUCGUCUGCGGGCAUCCAACGACGAUUAAAGAUUUCAUCGGUCAGGGAUGGGGAUGCGUCUGAUUAGCUUGUUGGCGGGGUAACGGCCCACCAAGGCUACGAUCAGUAGGGGUUCUGAGAGGAAGGUCCCCCACAUUGGAACUGAGACACGGUCCAAACUCCUACGGGAGGCAGCAGUGAGGAAUAUUGGUCAAUGGGCGAGAGCCUGAACCAGCCAAGUAGCGUGCAGGAAGACGGCCCUAUGGGUGGUAAACUGCUUUUAGGCGGGGAUAAAGUGAGGGACGUGUCCCUCAUUGCAGGUACCGCAUGAAUAAGGACCGGCUAAUUCUGUG